rnacentral:rRNA from 1 species
UAGGGAAUCUUCGGCAAUGGACGAAAGUCUGACCGAGCAACGCCGCGUGAGUGAAGAAGGUUUUCGGAUCGUAAAACUCUGUUGGUAGAGAAGAACGUUGGUGAGAGUGGAAAGCUCAUCAAGUGACGGUAACUACCCAGAAAGGGACGGCUAACUACGUGCCAGCAGCCGCGGUAAUACGUAGGUCCCGAGCGUUGUCCGGAUUUAUUGGGCGUAAAGCGAGCGCAGGUGGUUUAUUAAGUCUGGUGUAAAAGGCAGUGGCUCAACCAUUGUAUGCAUUGGAAACUGGUAGACUUGAGUGCAGGAGAGGAGAGUGGAAUUCCAUGUGUAGCGGUGAAAUGCGUAGAUAUAUGGAGGAACACCGUGGCGAAAGCGGCUCUCUGGCCUGUAACUGACACUGAGGCUCGAAAGCGUGGGGAGCAAACAGGAUUAGAUACCCUGGUAGUCCACGCCGUAAACGAUGAGUGCUAGAUGUAGGGAGCUAUAAGUUCUCUGUAUCGCAGCUAACGCAAUAAGCACUCCGCCUGGGGAGUACGACCGCAAGGUUGAAAC